rnacentral:rRNA from 1 species
GACGAACGCUGGCGGCGUGCUUAACACAUGCAAGUCGAACGGAAAGGCCCUGCUUUUGUGGGGUGCUCGAGUGGCGAACGGGUGAGUAACACGUGAGUAACCUGCCCUUGACUGUGGGAUAACUUCAGGAAACUGGGGCUAAUACCGGAUAGGAGCUCCUGCUGCAUGGUGGGGGUUGGAAAGUUUCGGCGGUUGGGGAUGGACUCGCGGCUUAUCAGCUUGUUGGUGGGGUAGUGGCUUACCAAGGCUUUGACGGGUAGCCGGCCUGAGAGGGUGACCGGCCACAUUGGGACUGAGAUACGGCCCAGACUCCUACGGGAGGCAGCAGUGGGGAAUAUUGCACAAUGGGCGGAAGACUGAUGCAGCAACGCCGCGUGCGGGAUGACGGCCUUCGGGUUGUAAACCGCUUUCGCCUGUGACGAAGCGUGAGUGACGGUAAUGGGUAAAGAAGCACCGGCUAACUACGUG